UCUAGUCUGGCACUGUAAGGAGACAUGAGAGGUGUAGCAUAAGUGGGAGAUCUCCUUACGGGUCGCCGGUGAAAUACCACUACUCUCAUCGUUUCUUUACUUACUUGGUGAGGCGGAGGGCGCGCGUCGUUCCCUGUGUUCGGCGCGCGGUCUUCUGGAGCCAAGGUCGGCUCGAAACAAUCCUGGCCGGCCGAUCCGAUCCAAGGACACUGCCAGGCC
rnacentral:rRNA from 1 species